rnacentral:rRNA from 1 species
GUAGGGAAGUCUUCCACAAUGAACGCGAGUCUGAUGGAGCAACGCCGCGUGAGUGAAGAGGGUUUCGGCUCGUAAACCUCUGUUGUUAAAGAAGGACAUAUCUGAGAGUAACUGUUCAGGUAUUGACGGUAUUUAACCAGAAAGCCACGGCUAACUACGUGCCAG